rnacentral:lncRNA from 1 species
CAUUACUCGGUGGCAGAAGCAGGCUCUGUCUUGCUCUGAAACUCUAAGACAACUCACUACCUCUGAAAAGAUGUGGAGAAGUUGCUUACAAAGAAGUAGGUCAUGUGUUAAACAGGAGGGAAGGUUCUUCAAAGAGCAGACCUGAGUAUUUCUGCAAGUUGACCCUCCCAAGUACCUGACAUUAUUUU